rnacentral:rRNA from 1 species
GACGAACGCUGGCGGCGUGCUUAACACAUGCAAGUCGAGCGGUAAGGCCCUUUCGGGGGCACACGAGCGGCGAACGGGUGAGUAACACGUGGGUGACCUGCCCUUAGCUCUGGGAUAAGCCUGGGAAACUGGGUCUAAUACCGGAUAUGACUCCAUGACGCAUGUUGUGGGGUGGAAAGCCUUGUGCGGCUAGGGGAUGGGGCCCGCGGCCUAUCAGCUUGUUGGUGGGGUGANGGCCUACCAAGGCGACGACGGGUAGCCGGCCUGAGAGGGCGACCGGCCACACUGGGACUGAGACACGGCCCAGACUCCUACGGGAGGCAGCAGUGGGGAAUCUUGCGCAAUGGGCGAAAGCCUGACGCAGCGACGCCGCGUGAGGGAUGACGGCCUCGGU